CCUACGGGUGGCAGCAGUAGGGAAUCUUCCACAAUGGGCGAAAGCCUGAUGGAGCAACGCCGCGUGGGUGAAGAAGGUCUUCGGAUCGUUAAACUCUGUUGUUAGAGAAGAAAGUGCGUGAGAGUAACUGUUCACGUAUCGACGGUAUCUAACCAGAAAGCCACGGCUCACUACGUGCCAGCAGCAGCGGUAAUACGUAGGUGGCAAGCGUUAUCCGGAUUUAUUGGGCGUAAAGGGAACGCAGGCGGUCUUUUAAGUCUGAUGUGAAAGUCUUCGGCUUAACCGGAGUAGUGCAUUGGAUACUGGCAGACUUGAGUGCAGAAGAGGUGAGUGGAACUCCAUGUGUAGCGGUGAAAUGCGUAGAUAUAUGGAAGAACACCAGUGGCGAAAGCGGCUCUCUGGUCUGUAACUGACGCUGAGGUUCGAAAGCGUGGGUAGCAAACAGGAUUAGAUACCCGAGUAGUC
rnacentral:rRNA from 1 species